GCAUGGAUAAAUAAUAUGAGCGACGUACUGAAUAAUCUUCAAACUAAAAUUCAAACAGAGAAGAAACGUCCUGUCUUUUAUGUUGAGCUAAGUGGAAUCCGACAACUUCAAAUCAACUCUAUUGAGAAAUUCGACACACAAUUUAUUGACGAAGGAAAUAACUUUAACACAGGGGACGGCAUUUUCAUUGCUCAAAUCUCAGGAGUUUAUUUGGUUUCCUGGAUCAUUCAGACAUACAGUUCGAAAAAUGUAGAAACCGAAUUGAGAGUCGAUAACAUUGUUAAAGGAAAGCAGUUAAUGGUUUUAUGAUCUGGAGCUGGUAAUUUUGGGACAACAAAAAUGUACUUUGUACUGUCAACAAGGGUGAUCAUGUUUGGAUACAAAAAAAGUAAUAAUUAUGGAGAUAAUUAUUUACAUAAUGUCCACGGCGGUGUAAGAAGUUCAUUCAUGUGUUUUUUUUAUUCAAGAACCCUGAACUUUUCUAUGAAUGAAGCUAAGGUGUCAGUCCUAUGAUACAUUUUUUUUUCUCACUUUAGGAAGGAAAGUUUACUGUAUUGUAACAAGUUACAAUAAUAUGUAGAUAACAUACAUUGUAAGAAUAACUACGUUGAUGACUAGAACAUAUAUUUUUCGACUUGAAAAAUUAUUCCACAUGUAUAAAGUCCAAAACUUGCGAAAAAUAUAUACGGUAAUGUGAUAUUUUUCCUUCUCUUAAUAUAUGUGCAUGAGUGUUCUGUUCAGUUUCAUCCUUGUCUUUCGAAUCGUUCUAGCGAUGUUAACCAAAUCUAUAUGAGGGUUUCAAGUGAGAUUAUGAUUUAGUGUUCACAUCAUAGAUGAAAUGUUGUUUUUCAAUUACGUUAUGGAGGGCAAUGUUUUGCACUACUAGUAUAGUAAUACACCUUGCUCACUGUUAAAAUAAAGACAAUUUUAGGA